CUUCAAAAACAAACAAAAAAUGUUACCAGAACACACAUGUUCUUUUAGUGAAAGUUUAAAAGAUAGCACUUCUUUGCAGAGGGUCAACAGUGAAGUGUGGUGACCUGGUUACUUUCUGUUUGACUGAGUGUUUCAUGGCUCUGGUUUGCACUCUGGAAGACUAAUCUUUGCUGAGAUUAGCUGAGUGGUUUUGGCUUCAAACUGAGGUAAGCCCAGAGCCUUGAGCUUGCUAAACAACUGCUCUACCCACCGAAUCUCAAGAUCCUCAACUCUACAGUGUGACACAUGAAAAGAGUGAGAGCAAAUGGAUGGAGUAUGUAGAAGGUAUGGGAAAAGUGUCCUGAGAAAAAGUAAAAAGAAGAGAGAGGAAAAGAGAUCAACAAAUGGUCAGAAUUCAAAAUACCUUUCAGAGGUCUAAAAGUAAACAACAACAACAACAAAAAAAAGAAUGUCAAAAUUUAGCUGCUUUUAAAGUAAAGUAGCAAAAUAAAUACCUAAAAACAAAUACUUUAAGCGCA
rnacentral:lncRNA from 1 species